rnacentral:tRNA from 1 species
GGUUGUGGCUCAGGUGGUAGAGUGCUUGCCUAUCAUGCAUGAGGCACUAGGUUCAAUCCCCAGCACCA